AGGGAAUAAAGUCAGGUCACGGAGCCAGCAGCGGCAACCCGCUGGGGUCUCCGUUUCAGGCUGUGGAAGCUUUGUUGUUUCAGUCUUUGCAAUAAAUCUUGCUGCUGUUCACCCUUUGGGUUUGUGCGGCUUUUAUGAGCUGUAACACUCCCCGAGAAGGUCUGCAGUUCCACUCCUGAAGCCAGCGAGACUGGGAACCCACUGGGAGGGAGGAACAACUCCAGACGGGAGACACGAACAACUCUGGACGCGCCAUCUUUAUGAACCGUAAAAGUCACUGCGAGGGUCUGCGGCUUCAUUCUUGAAGUCAGCGAGACCAAGAACCCACCAAUUCCGGACACGAUCUGACUUAUCCUUGUAUGUGCUAAACUCAGUCUCUACCCACAAGUGGAUUUGUAACUGGUUAAUCUGUCCAUUGGGAAUGUUUACUGUGGGCCUACCAUGUACCAGGGACUACACCAUGCUAGGAAGACCUGCAUAGAGUUUACAGCUGGUCCUAGGCGAUGCUGAUGCUGCAGGCCCAAGGAUCACACCUGGAGAAGCAUGGACACCUUGUUGUAAACAGAAGAUCUACUGCUGACCACAAGCUAGCAGCCAUGAGCUAUGGCUGAUGUAAGGAAGGACACAGAAGAACAGACCAGCCAGG
rnacentral:lncRNA from 1 species